rnacentral:rRNA from 1 species
GACGAACGCUGGCGGCGUGCUUAACACAUGCAAGUCGAACGGAAAGGCGCUGCUUUUGUGGGGUGCUCGAGUGGCGAACGGGUGAGUAACACGUGAGUAACCUGCCCUUGACUUUGGGAUAACUUCAGGAAACUGGGGCUAUUACCGGAUAGGAGCUCCUGCUGAAUGGUGGGGGUUGGAAAGUUUCGGCGGUUGGGGAUGGACUCGCGGCUUAUCAGCUUGUUGGUGGGGUAGUGGCUUACCAAGGCUUUGACGGGUAGCCGGCAUGAGAGGGUGACCAGGCACAUUGGGACUGAGAUACGGCGCAGACUCCUACGGGAGGCAGCAGUGGGGAGUAUUGCACAAUGGGCGGAAGCCUGAUGCAGCAACGCCGCGUGCGGAAUGACGGCCUUCGGGUUGUAAACCGCUUUCGCCUGUGACGAAGCGUGAGUGACGGUAAUGGGUAAAGAAGCACCGGCUAACUACGUG